UCCACGGAGGACUAGUGGUUAGGUUACAGUGCUCUCACUGCUGCAGCCCACGUUCGAUUCCUGGGCAGGGAA